rnacentral:rRNA from 1 species
AUUGAACGCUGGCGGCAGGCCUAACACAUACAAGUCGAGCGGAUGAAGGGGGCUUGCUCCUGGAUUCAGCGGCGGACGGGUGAGUAAUGCCUAGGAAUCUGCCUGGUAGUGGGGGAUAACGUCCGGAAACGGGCGCUAAUACCGCAUACGUCCUGAGGGAGAAAGUGGGGGAUCUUCGGACCUCACGCUAUCAGAUGAGCCUAGGUCGGAUUAGCUAGUUGGUGGGGUAAAGGCCUACCAAGGCGACGAUCCGUAACUGGUCUGAGAGGAUGAUCAGUCACACUGGAACUGAGACACGGUCCAGACUCCUACGGGAGGCAGCAGUGGGGAAUAUUGGACAAUGGGCGAAAGCCUGAUCCAGCCAUGCCGCGUGUGUGAAGAAGGUCUUCGGAUUGUAAAGCACUUUAAGUUGGGAGGAAGGGCAGUAAGUUAAUACCUUGCUGUUUUGACGUUACCAACAGAAUAAGCACCGGCUAACUUCGUG